ACUCAAUUAGAUAAUUUAUACUCAAAAAGAAUAUCUUAAAAUUUCAUGUAGUUGCCUCAAGAGAGAUAUUUCUUGUGAGUUAUGGGCUCUAUAUCAUUCGAGGCCCAGCCAGGAAAGCAGAAAACAUCAGGUAUUUGUAAAAGAGAUGAUUUGAUACAAGGAAUUGGUUAUACAAACGUGUUUGAAAGUCGCGAACGUAAAAAUAAUGCUGUGGUAUUCUAAUAUAUUAACUGCAGGAAGCAGCUGUUACUACCUGUGGUUGGAAGAACAAAAGGGAAGAGAUAGACCACCAGACUGCUGGAGCUUAAAAGAGGGGCCCCCACAAAGCUGAAGUGUGAACCUCUGAGGAGAGCAACACCCAAAUAAUGUGUCAAAAGCAGCCAGAGGCUGUAGCUGCUACUGUUGGAGGCAAGUGACAGGACUAGGAAACAGGAAUAGAGUCACUUUGUCCUUUGUCCAGCUUCCCAGUUUCCUAUAAGAACUUCUCACCCGCAGAACCUGACAGAAAGUCAACUGUCAAGAAAGUCUAAUAAAUAUGCUUUGGAGAUUCUCACAAAAGCAUACAGAGAGAUAGACUUGGGCCUAAGAAGCAAUAGCUAUAUAACUAGCACUGAUCCUAAGCAAUUGGAUUUACAGAUUUUUAACUUGACCUAUUCAAGUGGAAAUGUGAUCCUGCUCAGUGUGGGAAGAAAGCACCUGGAUGAAGACAGCUGGCCACGCCCACAGGUCAAGCACCAUUUCCAGAAAAUCCCAGUUUUGUUAGCAGAUGCAACAUAGGGGAGCUGAGUCACACUGACCAGCCCCCGAGGAAUCUGGCCUAUGCACUCCAAUAACGAAAUGAAAAAGGAUGCCCAAUUCCCCAAGCUAUUGUAUCACAACAUCUGAAUUUAUUCAUAUGUUCAAAAUGGCUUCACAGGCUUGCAGAGAAGGACAUUAAUGCCAGUGGGAGGUAUGAUUCACUACUUUAAUAUGUUCUCUGUAUGGAUUUCAAGACAAAUAAAACAUAUA
rnacentral:lncRNA from 12 species